AUUGAACGCUGGCGGCAGGCUUAACACACGCAAGUCGAGCGGGGUGAUGGUGCUUGCACUAUCACUUAGCGGCGGACGGGUGAGUAAUGCUUAGGAAUCUGCCUAUUAGUGGGGGACAACAUCUCGAAAGGGAUGCUAAUACCGCAUACGUCCUACGGGAGAAAGCAGGGGAUCACUUGUGACCUUGCGCUAAUAGAUGAGCCUAAGUCGGAUUAGCGAGUUGGUGGGGUAAAGGCCUACCAAGGCGACGAUCUGCAGCGGGUCUGAGAGGAUGAUCCGCCACACUAGGACUGAGACACGGCCCAGACUCCUACGGGAGGCAGCAGUGGGGAAUAUUGGACAAUGGGGGGAACCCUGAUCCAGCCAUGCCGCGUGUGUGAAGAAGGCCUUAUGGUUGUAAAGCACUUUAAGCGAGGAGGAGGCUCUUUUGGUUAAUACCCAAGAUGAGUGGACGUUACUCGCAGAAUAAGCACCGGCUAACUCUGUGCCAGCCGCCGCGGUAA
rnacentral:rRNA from 1 species